rnacentral:rRNA from 1 species
AUGUUGUGCAAGAACACCUUCCUUGUCUUCCUUGUGGCGCUGCUGCUCUCAUGCAGCUCCAUGAGCAGUGCAGCGCGGCACCUAGAGGAGGCUGUGCCCAAGAAGGAGAAUCCACCACAUCCGAUCGUCACGGAGCUGCCAAAGCCCCAACUCCCGCUGCACCCUGCCAUGCCUGAGCUGCCAAAGCCUGAACCACCGCACCCUCUCGUGCCCGAAGUGCCACACCCCGUGGUGCCGGAGACACCAAAGGAGCCUGAAGUGCCACACCCCGUGGUGCCGGAGAUGCCAAAGCACGAGCUUCCACCACACCCUGCUAUGCCCGAGCUCCCCAAGCCUGAACUGCCGCAUCCGGCUGUGCCGGAGGUGCCAAAGGACACUGAAGCGCCACACCCCAUCGUGCCAAAGGAGCCUGAAGUAACACACCCCAAGGUGCCGGAGGUGCCAAAGCAUGAGCUGCCACCGCACCCUGCUAUGCCCGAGAUCCCAAAGCCUGAACUGCCGCAUCCGGUUGUGCCUGAGGUGCCAAAGGAGACUCAAGGGCCACACCCAAUCGUACCGGAGGUGCCAAAGGAGCUCGAUCUGCCACGCCCUGUCAUGCCGGAGGUGUCACACCCUGUCGUGUCGGAGGUACCAAAGGAGCCUGAGCUGCCGCACUCUGCGAUGCCAGAGUUGCCGAAGCCUGAAGUGCCACACCAUGGCGUGCCAGAGGUGCCAUCGGAGCCCCAUGUGCCGCACCCUGAGGUGCCGAAAGAGCCCGAGUUACCGCACCCUGCUGUGCCAGAGGUCCCGAAGCACGAAAUGCCGCUGCCCCCCAAAGCCGAGCUGCCUCCGAAGCCCGAGUUCCACUUUCCGGAGCCAAAGACCAAGCCAUGA